rnacentral:rRNA from 1 species
UUAUCUCUGUAGAGUCUGCAUAUCAAUAAGCGGAGGAAAAGAAACUAACUAAGGAUUCCCUCAGUAACGGCGAGUGAAGCGGGAAGAGCUCAAAUUUGAAAUCUUCAAGGUUCUACCUUGACGAAUUGUAGUUUAAAGAAGUGUUUUCUGUUGGAGUUUUCGGUAAAAGUUCUUUGGAAUAGGACAUCAUAGAGGGUGAGAAUCCCGUACUUUGACCAUUAUUUUCAGCUGUGUGAUACACUUUCAACGAGUCGGAUUGUUUGGGAAUGCAGUCCAAAAUGGGUGGUAAAUUUCAUCUAAAGCUAAAUAUUGGCGAGAGACCGAUAGCGAACAAGUACCGUGAGGGAAAGAUGAAAAGAACUUUGAAAAGAGAGUUAAACAGUACGUGAAAUUGUCAAAAGGGAAGCGUCUGACACCAGUGUUGUUUUUCCGAAAAUCAAUUACGAAUGUUUUGUUUUUAAGGAAGUUAUGACUUCAUCGGCUUGCUCCUUUCUUUACGAAACUUUCUUAAUGCACUUUUCGGUUAACAAGUCAACAUCAAUUUCUUUUGUUGUAAAAGGGUCAUUGGAAGGUGGCUUUCUUUUCGGAGAAAGUGUUUAUAGCCUUUGAUCUCUGCAACCGGAGAGACUGAGGUCUGCAGCGUAGAUCCUUCGGGGUUAGAUACAUUUGUGCUAAGUUAUAGCCUUUCAUAGACAACUUGUUGACUAUGAUCAGUCAUGUAGCUUACUCGCUUAUGCUAUUUUACCUACGCUUAGGAUGUUGAGUAGCGACAUACGCAC